CACUCAGAGAAGGAAAGCAAGACUCCCAGGUCAAGCUCUACUGCCUCCUCCUCUGGGGUCAGGAUAUAGAAAAGAGUCACAGGAACAGCCUCAGUUGCUUACCAUCUGAAGUUCUAAAUCUCUGAGGCUACGCCACAGAGGGGAACUUUUCCAUCAAAGAAAAAUGCUAAAAAGAGUACCUACUGGGAAAUGUUUGAGAAACUCAAAUCUGUUCCAACAGGUAAAGAAGACUUUGGGUACGUUGGCCACUUGGUACUGCCUGGGCUGAGAUUUUACUGAGGAAAAACUGCCAAUGUAAUCAGAAGUUCUUAAAGACAAAUAUUUGGAGAGAGCAUGUGGCAUGUUAAUUUCUCAUGAUAGAGAGGUUUUUUAUAUAACUGAGGCUGGCACUGAACUGAAGAGCCUCCUGCCUCAGGCCAAGUACUGUGAUUGCAGAACAUUCUGCCUGGCCAAAUUAAGAAAAGGGGCAAAGAGUCCACAGAAAUUCCUGAAGUCUGAAUUAUCUGAGUUCUGACUAUAUGAGAUGUAAGCAUACCUGUGACUUUCUUCUUACAACUGCAAUUACACGAUGUCAAAUUCUCUCAUGAAAUAGAAAGUGAAAAAUGACAUAAAAAUGUGAAUCUGAAAUACUCCAAACUG